UACAGAGGGGGCAAGCGUUAUUCGGAAUUAUUGGGCGUAAAGGGCGCGUAGGCGGCCUGGCAAGUGGAAGGUGAAAUCCCUCGGCUUAACCGAGGAACUGCCCUCCAAACUGCUUGGCUUGAGUCCGGGAGAGGUGAGUGGAAUUCCCAGUGUAGCGGUGAAAUGCGUAGAUAUUGGGAGGAACACCAGUGGCGAAAGCGGCUACCUGGCCCAUUCUUGACGCUGAGGCGCGAAAGCUAGGGGAGCAAACGGG
rnacentral:rRNA from 1 species